CUCUUCAUUUGCUCGAGAUGAUUGUCUACUAUCUUUGUUUAGAACAAUCUAGGAUUGGCCGUACAUCUUUUCUGGUUUACUUAUCCUAUUCCAAAGUACCCUAUUACAAUAUGUAUGCAGCAGUUGAAUGAUUCCACUUCUGCAGUUUGUUGCUCUUCAUUUGCUCGGGAUGGCAUCUCAGCUUGCCCAUAAUGUUUCCAUGUUCUUAUAGUAAUCUUCAGCAGUUUAUUUUGUGAACUAAGAUCCCUGGAGUUCAUACAACUUAUGAGCUUGCAUUUUUGUCUCGCCUCUAAUACUCGAAUUUCUUUGCAGCUGGUUUCGAUCUCCCUAGGUGUGUUACCUCACCUGUUAUGUUGCUGUGCGAUUGUUGUUCAAUACAAUUGCCUCUUCGCCGCCUUUCACAAGUAGCCUUAACAAAUAUUUCUUAGUUAAAUGCUUGCAGAAGAUGUGUCACCCUUAAUUAAGGGUAUUUCUAUUUGGAAUAAAUCCCAACACAACUAUGUUUUCAUUCUUCAUCUCUGCAGCCUUGCCCGCUGGGUCGCUGAUUAUGCUGGCAUAGGUUUCCUAUGUCGUUGGGUAACCGCUGCUGCUGGAGUACAGGUGGCUGACAUCCAUCAAUCAAUCGACAUAAGGUUUUAGCCAUGAGCGUGGUUGAGAUUCCAUCCUUGGUCAUGAUGAAGGUAGCUUUUAAAGCCAUUGUAUAGCAGUAUAUCCAUGAAAAGGAAGAGCGAAGUUCUUCAAGCAAGCAGUACUGCCUGUAUAGUUACAACCAUGUAGUAAGACAUGUUGUAGUACUAAUAGAGAUUUACAUAGUGUUUCACCCAUCGGAUACCAUCAAUUUCUACAGAUGCUUAAUAUAGUGUUUUAUAAAUUGUUUGCAAAUAA